UUCAAUCAAUCAAAACCUUUAUUGCAUUAGCAUACAGCCAUAGCAAAAUAAGACAAAAAUACUAGAGACAAGCAACCAAACAAAAUUCAAAGCAAUAUUACUGGCGUAAUGACAUUUAAAUUACCCUAAGACAAUAAUGUAAAGAUUUAGUUGCCAGCGCCAAGAAUCCAAAAUGCGGAUGUAUAUAAAACAUAAAAUGGCCCCAAAAUAGGCUCGGCACAUUGGGUUG